UACAGAGGUCUCAAGCGUUGUUCGGAUUCAUUGGGCGUAAAGAGCUCGUAGGCGGCUUGUUGCGUCGACCGUGAAAACCCGGGGCUCAACUUCGGGCUUGCGGUCGAUACGGGCGGGCUAGAGUUCGGUAGGGGAGACUGGAAUUCCUGGUGUAGCGGUGAAAUGCGCAGAUAUCAGGAGGAACACCGGUGGCGAAGGCGGGUCUCUGGGCCGAUACUGACGCUGAGGAGCGAAAGCGUGGGGAGCGAACAGG
rnacentral:rRNA from 1 species